CAAGACUGCAGUGACUCAAGCAGAGAGUGUAGCAUAAGUGGACAGCAUUUGAAUGGUUUCUGUUCUAAUAUACCAGCUCUGCCAGCAGUGUCUGAGCUCACAGACUAGCUCAAACACUUACACUGACCCACAGAAAUACCUCAGCCAUUGUGUCUGGGGCUGCUAAAAGAAUCUGCCAGUAUCACCUGGACCUUAAGAACAAUAAAUACGCUCAUCUUGAAAGAAGACAGAUUAAAAUAAAGGGCCCACAGAAAUUCAUCCAACAGAAACAUUUCUAAGGCACCGAACAAAACCUGCAGUGGCUGAGUCUUCAAAUAUUCUGUAUUAAGUACUGUCUCUGGAGAGGUGCUUAAAAAUUCAUAAUACGGUGUAUCUAUUGAUGUAUUUAACGGAACUCUGGAGUAAGAAAGUAGAACUCUCCAGCACUGUCAAGAUAACACUGCCAAAUUUUCCUUUGGAUCUGUACAUCUCCAGAUGAAAACCUGAGCUCCCUCAGGGCCCAGAUAUUAUAGUUGGAGCUGACAGCUUGGAUCUCUAUUGUGAGAAAUUAUUCAUGAUAUUAGCAGUUCUUUCCUCUUAAGCUUGAAAAUGGGAGUUAUAGCCCAUUGCUCAUACCUGAACUGGAUAGCUUUAUACCGCGUCUACAUUUCUGGAAUUCAUCAAUCGUUGAAGCACUGAAGCAAGUCCAAGUCCUCAAAAGAUCCACAAGUGCAA